AGAGAGAGAGAGAGAGAAAGAGGUUGCCGAUUCCCAUUUAUAGACACGGAGUCGCCGAGCGACUCGUCGUGGGUCGGUCGAGAAUUGCCUGCUUUCAGUGUCGACCGUCGGUUUGAUUCGAUCAAAGCCAGUGAUUGAGACUGAAAGCGGAAAGUGGCACUAACGCGAAUACAAUAAUAAUAACUAUAAAGUAUCCGUUCCCAGUCUUUAAUCUCACUUCCUUUUUUUUAUUUCUUAACGAUUCACAUCUUUUUGAAUAAAAUAUUAAAUAUUAAAAAAUCAAUUUCAUCAAAUUAGAUGGUUCGAUUAGAGGAGGAAUGAAAUAGCCGUUAAUAAAUCCAUCAACCUUUUUUAUAUUAUUUGGGAUUCAGGAAAAGAAAAAAUGUAACUAUUCACAAAAAGAAUCAUUUUCGAUAUCAAGUUAAACAUCCAUAAAUCUAAACAAAAAAAUAAAUCAGGAUAAUGCAAUUAUUUUGAUGGCAAUUGCUAGGAAAGUCCUUUACCGGUUAAUUUCACCCCAUUUCACCAAAUCCAGAAGAUGGGUACUAUUCUUCAUGGUUUCCACCUUUUGCCUACAAAAAAAGGUUUCCUUUGCGGUUUCCAUUGCAACCAAGUACACUAACCAAAAACUACAAUUGCAUCAAAAGAUGAAAUGAAAGCAAUGCCAACGAGGUAAAUUAUGCUACGCUAUUUGGAACAUAAAAAACAAAUAAUAGCAGGUGGUAAUGGCGGAAAGGAUAUUAUUGCAAAUAUCAAUAAUCAAGAUAAAGGAAUGUAAUUGUGAAUCUCAACUCUUCGACCCUCUGUGAUACAAAAGUUUAACCGAUAUCUUGAGUACGUGAAUGGAUGUCCAAAGUAGAUGGAAGGGAUGAUAUUGCAAAUCUCAACAUUUAACACCAAAGAAUCUAACCACACAUAUUGACUCUUCGACCAUUGAUUAUAUGAUCUUUGGUCUGUCCUGAACAUCUUGAUGGUUGACCACUUAUAAGUGCAAGAAGAUUUUAGGAGCUAGCAGUUUCUGGCUUUUUUGUUUCUUCCAUCAUCAACAUUCAUGAUUCCUCAUCGGCAUUCUGCUAGCUCAUAACAACCACUGGCUACUACUGUUACUGGAAUGCUCUCUCUCUCUCUCUCUCUCGGGGCCAGUUGCAGAGACCAAGGGAGACUUAUUUGUGCCAAUCACAGCUGCCAUCAUAACUUAUUCAACCAAUUGUGCCUAAAAGUGAUUGCACUGGAAGCCUUGCAGGCAAACACACAACUGCUACAAGGCAAAGCACAUGCUUAUGAGUUCAUCUCACCGACACAAAUCUGAUAUAGGACUGGUUGUGUUGUCUUUUCUCCUCCUAUUGGUCUCUUCAUAGCUUCCAGUAGUUGAUAUUGAUGCUUUUAAUAUUUGCAACAGGUUUCCAGGGUUGAACAUAAAAAACCUGAUUUGCUAUUAUAAAGGUCAUAUUCCUCCAGAUCAGCCUGUGGAAAACAAGAAAAGAAUGAUGCAAGUGAAUUUAAGAACAACCAGUGAUUAAAUGAAUAUUUUUUGGAAGGCAAAACAAAUAUCAAUUACAGUAUACCAUGAUAUUCAUGUGAUAACUCUGCAUUAUUGGAGAAUAAUUGACAAGAUGUUUUAGUCUGUACCUUACUAUUCAGUCAUCAGUGGGGUAUAGCCUUCCAUCUUCAUCUCAUCAACUAAUAGGUUAAUCAUUUCAUAAAUCUCUGCAGCUCUCAGACGCAAUCCAUCGCCAGCAUGGAAUUCAUGGACUUGCUUACCAACCUCAAUCCAACUGCAACCAGGAGUCUUUGUGACACCCCUCUCCCUCAUUAGCCCUCUUAUCCUCGCUGAAUCCUCCCACCUCUUUGAGUUUGCAAAUAUUUUAGAAGAAAUAACAUAGUUCCCUGAGUUUGAAGGUUCCAACUCAAGGAUCCUCUUCACAACCCUCUCUCCAACUUCCAUAUUCUUUUGAUAUCGACAAGCACUAAGCAGAGCUCCUAAGACAACCGCAUCAGGUUUCUGUGGCAUCUUCUCUGUGAACUCCCAUGCUUCUUCUAAAAGCCCACCUCGUGCUAGAAGGUCAACCAUGCAAGAGUAAUGCUCAAUCUUUGGAAUGAUUCCAUAUGCCGACUGCAUGACAUCAAACCAGCGCCGACCUUCAUUAACUAAACCAGAAUGCACACAUGCAGAAAGGACCCCUAUAAAUGUGAUAUCAUUUGGCCGAAACCCUUGAUUCACAUUUAUCAUCCGAGUAAAUAAUGAAAUAGCUUCUUCUCCUUGUCCAUUGAAAGCAAGUGCAGAGAUCAUAGCAUUCCAUGAGACUAUAUUCUUAUGAGGCAUGAUAUCAAAGACUUCCAUAGCUCGGCCUAGAUUUCCACAUUUUGCGUACAUGUCGACCAAGGCUGUUCCAACAAAUACGUUAUGGUACAGCCCAUUACCUGAGGCAUAUGCAUCAAGAGAUCUGCCCAGCUCAAGAGCUCCAACAGCUGCACAUGCUGAUAGAACCCCUACAAUUGUGAUUUUGUCUGGCUCAACUCUUGCCUCCCUCAUGGUGUGGAAUAAUUCAAUGGCCUUAUCUGACAAACCAUUCUGCGCAUACCUGUGUGGUUCUGGCAAGCCAAGCCAUCAGUCCAAAAUUCUACAUGAUACAGUUGCAUGAUUCUGAUAAUAAAGGCAUGAAGCAACGGUCUCUGCUCCAGUAAUGUCUAUAUAUGCUAAGCAGAUCGACAUAGCAAUUUAAAACAAAAUCAAUGAUCUAUUUAAGGCUGAAAGAAUUAAUAAGAGAAGGAAUUAUACGAAUAUACUUGCCCUGUGAUCAUUGCAUUCCACGCAACCAAGUCCUUGUUUGCCAAUCCAUCAAAUAUUCUCCUUGCUGAGCCCAGAUCUCCACAUUUACCAUACAUAUCAAUCAACGCAGACCCAAGAAACGAGUCCAGCACCAACCCAUGCUCCUCCACCAAGCCCUCCAACCACGUCCCCAAGCUGGAGUCCCCCAGGUCCCCACAGGCCGCCAGAACACACACCAGAGUGACCUCAUCCGGCACGAUGGAUCCCUCCGACCUCAUCCUCCGAAACAACUCCACCGCCUCCCCCGCGUGGCCCAUCUUCGCGUACCCAGACAACAUCGAGUUCCAGGAGACCGGGUCCCUCACGCCAAUUUCAUCGAACACCUGGCGCGCCAGGGCCACCUCGCCGCACCUCGAAUACAUGGUGAUCAAGGAAUGCUGCACGUGGUCAUUGCCGUCGAGCCCGAGCUUAAAGAUCGGCGCAUGGGCGGUCAGGCCGCAGCACAAGGACUCGAGGUUGGCGGAGGCGACGAGGACGAAGGGGAAGGUGUAGUGGUUGGGCCGCUCGCCAGAUCGGACCAUCCGGAGGUAGAACUCGAGGGCGAGCGGGUAGUCGGCGUAGAUGGUGGUGAGGGCGCGGAUCAUGACGUUGAAGGAGUAGUCGUUGGGGCGGGGAUUCCGGGAGAAGAGGAGGAGGGAGUAGGGGAGGUCGUUGAGGAGGAGGAGCUUGGAGAGCAGGUGGUUGGGCUUGUGGACGCCGAGGGUGAGCAUGUGGGAGUGUAUCUGCUUGAAGCAGCGGAGGGAGGCGCAUCGCUUGAGGAGAGAUAGGAUGUGGUUUUGAGGGUUUGCUUCGGCUGGAGAGGGGAAGUGGUUCGAGGGAGGUGCGGGAGGAAGGGGUGUCUGAGGAGGAGACGGGAGCUUGAGCUUGGGGAUUACUUUGUGUUUGAGCAUUACUAUUCGCUUUGGAAGCGCGACCUACUUGUCGAUGGCCGCACUAACGAUCGAUUCUUGUUUGACUACAUUUAUAUAGUAUCUCUUAUCAUAAUUCUUAAACAGUCAUUUUGUAUUUUAAAAAUAUUAAAAAUAUCCGUCAAAAGUUAUCAUGUGUCUUUUUGUCCAUUUUUGAGGAUUAAUACAACUAUUUAUAAUAUUUUAUAAAUUUUUAUUCAUAAAAAUACUGUAAAACUAGUUCAAAAAUAUUAUAAAGUGUUUUUGAAUCAUGUUUUUAUUUCAAAAAUACUAUAACAUCAAAUAUUUAGUUAAAAAUUGCUAUGUAAUAUUGUUCACUAGUCUUGUAGUAUUUUUAUGGAUAAAAAUACACAAAAUAUUGUAAACAAUUGAUGGAAAAACACAUCAUAGGCUUUGGAUUAGACGAGAAAAAAUGACAGCUUUUUGAAAAGAUAUUUUUAGAAAAUUAGAAAUAAAAAUGAUUGUUUGGAAAUUAUAAAAAGGUUACGAAAAUACCCAAAAUAACUUGCAUAAUAUAUCAUGUCUCUUUUCUUUUGUAGAAAUAAUAUUAGCUUCUUCAUUUUUUUCUGCUUGGCUUCUCAAGAAGCCUUAAUGAGUAGAUUAAACAGAGAAUCAAAGACAAGAAAGAGCAAUGCAUCAAUCACAAUAAGCAAACCAAUUAUAUGGUAAAAUUUGAAUUACUUCAUGCUCAAUAAACUUUCUUCUUAGCAAUCAAGAAAUUGUGCUAACGUAAUAAUAAUGAGUGAAUAACACGGCGUAGAAAACCAAUCGCUAAGUCAUGAUAUGCUCCCUGGAUGGCCAAACUAAUCAAAGAGCGAGAAGCCCAUGUCGUCAUCGCUCUCCUCUUUUUCUUCCUUUUUCUCCUCUUCAAGAGGUGCCUCGGCAGCGGGAGCACCGCCACCAGACCCAGCUGAUGCACCACCUGAAGGGGCUCCACCUCCGAUAAAUGCCCCGCCACCUCCACCAAUUAUAACCUGCAUCAUGUAUUACGAAGAUUUUAGACUUCGGGCAACUAGUCUCAAAUAACAGAGCACCAUGUAUUACAAAGAUUUUAGACUUCGGGCAACUAGUCUCAAAUAAAAGAGAUGAGAUGGAGUAACAGAGAAGAGGGAAGAAAAAUAAGAAAACCAACAAUGUUCUCCAUCCAACUUGUCUCAACAAAGAGAUGAGCACUAAUAGAAUGAAGCCCUUACUCACCAAAAUUAUUUGCAAAAAAAGAACACCAAUCUAACUGAUGCAAGCAUUCUAAUAUGCAACUUUUAUUGGAUAUGAAAAACAAAUUGCCCAAAUACAGGAACCUAUGAGAAAGUUUAAAUCAUAAGUAAAAUUUGUAGACACAAGGAUAAAAGGCAUCAUGAACAAUAAAACAAUAGUGGCAGUAGAAAUAAUUUAAAUGCAAGGAUAUAGAGGCCAUAUAUGAAACCAAAAUCUUAUGCUCAUGUAGAUCAGAGAUUGGGGUACAAAGCCAAUAUGUGGCAUUACGAAUAUAGAGAAAACAUAGACCUUUUGGUAAGUGUCAACUCAGUAGAUUAACUAAAAAGCAUGAUACUGAUGCUGAUCUAGCUUCUCGCAUCUAGCUUCUCACACACAGGAAGUAACAUCAAGAAUCAACUCUCUUUGAACUUUCUUAAAAUCUGGGAAUCCUAUGCUGGUCUUCAUACUAGUCAAUCAUUGUUUUCUUUGUUAAAAGGUGUAGAAGUAUCCUGAAAGACUUAAGAUCUUCUACUUGCAAAAACAAAAAUCUGAUGCAUUUUACCACUAAAACGAGAGUAUAGAGUAUAUACAAAAUCACAUAAUCCUAAUCAGAGAAUGACAAAAAAAAAUAGACCCAAUAUAAUGACACAAAAGGACAACAAAUCAGCUCUGUUUUUGACAAGAGAACGAAGCACUAAAAGUAACCUUUUUAGUAAUCAGGGACUCAUCAUGUUGACAUAAAGCAUUAGACUCGAAGCCAACCAGGAGACCAAGAUAAGCCAGUGGGGGAUGAACCAACUCGCACAACACAAGGAUCCUCAACAAAUAUAAAAACAUCCCAUGGCUCAGCUGAACUCACCAAGUCUUAUAACAAAUAGUGUAUCACCUCAAAAUAUUGCAGGCAGCCAAACUCUCCUUGUUCACUACCAGUUAAGACAAUUAAGUACCAGCUUAUGAGGUUAAUCACUCAAGAUUUUCUCUAGAAGUAAAAAACAUUGGAACUCUCUUUCCAUGCUCUGCUUAUCGCCUUAUCAUUUAACACAGGUAAGAGCACAAGUCACUUAAUAACCAUAAGCAUUUUGGAGACCUCAUGGUCGUCCAGACCCGAACCAGUAUUCAAGAUGACGAAUUCAACUGUUAAAGGACUAGCUCGAAUACUCACAAGGAAUAUUCUUUUAUAGCAUUAUCAUCUCCCUCCUCCAUCUUUAAUCGCACUUUAACAAGCAAUGAAUUUAUCUAGAUGAAAGCGAUCUUGCUUUCUCGUACCAGGCAAUAACAUAAUGCUUCUCUGAUCAAAAGCCCAUAUUUCCAUUCCUUCACCGUAGCACGAUCACUAGUCAUGGACAUAAGUAAAUCUAGAAAAAAAAAGGGUUGUUUUGAACAUAUCAAAGUUCUAGAUCAAGAUGAGAGCGAACGAUAAGGGGGAGGCAACAAUGCAUCGAAACCAGCAGCGACAUUUAGCAGAAACGCCUCGAGAUAUCUCACCUGGAAGACGGCCGAUGAGGGAGAGACCAUGGAGAAGGAGGACUGGACGCCACCCGAGGAGUCGACCGCGAGUACCGCCUGCACGAGCUCUCGCUGGAGGCCGUAGGUCGAAGAGGCUGAAGCCUCAAGGUCACCAGAGAGCUGCUUCGCGCUCCAAUCGCCGCCGGAGCUACGGCACACGAAGGUGUACACGCCCAUGUCUCUUCCGCCACUCGUCACCCGCGCCGAUCCAAAACCCUAAUCAUACCACCCCCCCUUCCGUUUAUAACGGCGAUAGAACUUUCCGAUGGACCAAAAUACCCGUAAUCGAUACGACUAAUAACGCAAACGUCCAUUACAGCGACAUGCUGCCCACGUGAUAUAGGUGUUUAAGUUAAUGGAAUUGGAUUCCUUCAAUCUAAUAAUCGAAUCUAUUUAUGAUGACAAUUAUGUCAUGUAAUAAUUUGCAUAUGUAUAAACUAUUUAGAAUUUAGUAGUUUCGAUUUGUAGAUGGAUAUUUGGAUGAAAUUUUAAUAUUUACUAGAAAUAAUGUUCAUCAAAUCUCGAAUCGAUGACGAAACAAAUGAAAUAUCUCUAAGAUUGAUUUGACAUCAUAAAGAGGAAUACUGUAACACCAUCAACAUAUGGCAGAUUAAUGGCAACCCUUCAACCGUGCCAUGCAUUACACUCCCAUGUUGGCGUCAUCCGUCUCCUCGGCUUCGACACCAAAGCCACGCUUCCCUUUCUCGCACACCGUAUCAAGGUUGUACAGUAUGGGAACCAUGGCGAGAGAGGACAAGGGCACCAGGACUGGACCAAAUAUCCACAGCAGGAGCGGAAGUGCAGCGUAGAACAGCCUGUUCCCCACGGUGUUGAGGAAGAAGCCCUUCUCCAGGAGAUCACACACGUAUUGCGGGGUCACCGGCGAGCCUUCGUGGCCGCAGCAAGGAGUGUUGAUGAGGAAGUUCACCUGGUUGACGAACCUUAUGGAGAGGGAGUAGCAGAGGAAGGCGAAGAGGAAGAUGAGCAGCAGCGUGACGUACUUCAGGGACACCAUGAACUCCCCGUGGGCGCCGAACAGCGCGUCGUCGAGAGGCUUUUUGAUGCUGUAGGUGCUGCUGAUGACGGCGGCGAGGCCCGAGCAGAGGAGGAUGGAGGUGGUGGCCAUCAGGGUGGAGGCCAUGAUGGCGUUCCUUAUCGACUGCACCGCGAGGAUGUUCUUCUUGUCGUUGUCCUGCGACACAUCAACAGGAAGCCUCAAGGAAUUGCUUCAAACAGUACAUGCAGCAGGAGAAAGCUGUUCGAGGAAGGUGGAGAGAGUGAGUACUUUAAUGAUGGCCAGCACCCAGUGGCGACGCCCGGCGGAGUUGAUCCCUAUUACCGUGCGAAGUGGCUGUGAUCGAACCUUACGCCACAGCCAACAGUGAUACAGGAUAUGGAGAAGAAGGCUUGAUGGAACAAGAACAAGAUCCAGGUAACUCUUUCUCCAUUCCAUGGCAUCCCGGCUGAGUCCUCCUGCCGCUCUCGUCGUAUAUAUAUAUAUAUUUGUAUUUGUGUGUGUAUAUAUAUAUAUAUAUAUAUAUAUAUAUAGAGAGAGAGAGAGAGAGAGAGAGAGAGAGAGAGAGAGAGAGCAGCACCAGCUAAAUUAAAUGCUAGUCGACGUGGUGCCACCACCAGAACAUGACAUCCCAGGAAUAAUGCUGUCAGCUUUCUUGGAAGGCCGAUACGAGAAAGCUACUGCUGUCAGCUUUCUUGGAAGGCCGAUACGAGAAAGCAACACGAGAGAGAUGGCAACAUCUACAAAAGUGUUCGACGAAUUGCCGGUAGGUCUCCUGGUGAUGGUAUCCUUCAGAGCCGAGUUAAAUCUGGGAGAAAAUGGUACCUACUUGGGUCGAUUCUUGAGUUCAGCAACACAAAAGCAACCGGGCCGUACACGAUCAUCAUCGGUAGCGUACAUGUUACAGAAGUUUUAGCAGUCGUUUUUGGAUGGAAAGAAAUGGCAAUCUUCUUCUUCCUCCGGAAUCUGCUUUCGGUGUGCGUUGGACUGCGUACCACUAAUACAGGGACAAGAUUGCUCAGUUUUCUCCGGAAAAAGAUUAUAGUGCGGUGUGAUCCCUGAGUGGGCCUUCGGGAUAAGAAG
rnacentral:lncRNA from 1 species